GAUGAACGCUGGCGGCGUGCCUAAUACAUGCAAGUCGAGCGAACGGACGAGAAGAUUGCUUUUUUGAUGUUAGCGGCGGACGGGUGAGUAACACGUGGAUAACCUUCCUAUAAGUCUUGGAUAACUUCGGGAAACCGGUGCCAAUACCGGAUAAUAUUUCGAACCGCAUGGUUCAAAAGUUAAUGACGGUCUUGCUGUUACUUUUAGCUGGAUCCGCGCUGGAUUAUUUAGUUGGUAAGGUAACGGCCUACCAAGGCAACGAUGCGUAGCCGACCUGUGUGGAUGAUCGGCCACACUGGAACUGAGACACGGUCCAGACUCCUACGGGAGGCAGCAGUAGGGAAUCUUGCGCAAUGGGCGAAAGCCUGACGGAGCCACGCCGCGUGGGUGAUGAAGGUCUUCGGAUCGUAAAACUCUUUUGUUAGGGAAGAACAUAUGUAUAAGUAACUGUGCACAUCUUGACGGUACCUAAUCAGAAAGCCACGGCUAACUACGUG
rnacentral:rRNA from 1 species